AGAAAGAUGGCUGAAAAUAAAGUGAUAAAUUGUAAGUUUAUUUAUAAAUGGAUAAUAUUUUCUUUCUA
rnacentral:tRNA from 1 species